AACGGCCGUACCAUGCUGAAUAUACCGGUUCUCGUUAGAUCACCGAAGUCAAGCAUCAUUGGGCGUGGUCAGUACUCGGGUGGGUGACCACCUGGGAACACCGCGUGCCGCUG